CCGACUAUACCACACUGGAAGCACCGAUCCUCUUCUAAUCAUCGAAGUCAAGCAACGUCAAGCCCAGUUAGUAUUUGCAUGGGUUACCAGCUGGGAAUACCAGGUGUUGCGAUC
rnacentral:rRNA from 1 species